rnacentral:rRNA from 1 species
UGGGUAGUCCGUAACGAGCGCACCUUACCUUAGUUGCCAGCACGUAAUGGUGGGAACUCUAAGGGGACUGCCGGUGACAAACCGGAGGAAGGCGGGGACGACGUCAAGUCAUCAUGGCCCUUACGGGUAGGGCUACACACGUGCUACAAUGGACAGUACAGAGGGCAGCGAAGCGGUGACGUGGAGCGAAUCCCAGAAAGCUGUUCGUAGUCCGGAUUGCAGUCUGCAACUCGACUGCAUGAAGUUGGAAUCGCUAGUAAUCGCGGAUCAGAAUGCCGCGGUGAAUACGUUCUCGGGCCUUGUACACACCGCCCGUCACACCAUGGGAGUAGGUUGCACCAGAAGUAGGUAGACUAACCGCUUGCGGGGGUCGCUUACCACGGUGUGAUUUAUGACUGGGGUGAAGUCGUAACAAGGUAGCCGUAGGGGAACCUGCGGCUGGAUCACCUCCUU